UACACUCCUACGGGAGGCAGCAGUGGGGAAUAUUGGACAAUGGGCGCAAGCCUGAUCCAGCCAUGCCGCGUGAGUGAUGAAGGCCCUAGGGUUGUAAAGCUCUUUUGUGCGGGAAGAUAAUGACGGUACCGCAAGAAUAAGCCCCGGCUAACUUCGUGCCAGCAGCCGCGGUAAUACGAAGGGGGCUAGCGUUGCUCGGAAUCACUGGGCGUAAAGGGUGCGUAGGCGGGUCUUUAAGUCAGGGGUGAAAUCCUGGAGCUCAACUCCAGAACUGCCUUUGAUACUGAAGAUCUUGAGUUCGGGAGAGGUGAGUGGAACUGCGAGUGUAGAGGUGAAAUUCGUAGAUAUUCGCAAGAACACCAGUGGCGAAGGCGGCUCACUGGCCCGAUACUGACGCUGAGGCACGAAAGCGUGGGGAGCAAACAGGAUUAGAAACCCGUGUAGUCCCAUGA
rnacentral:rRNA from 1 species